AAAUUGAAGAGUUUGAUCAUGGCUCAGAUUGAACGCUGGCGGCAGGCCUAACACAUGCAAGUCGAACGGUAACAGGAAGCAGCUUGCUGCUUCGCUGACGAGUGGCGGACGGGUGAGUAAUGUCUGGGAAACUGCCUGAUGGAGGGGGAUAACUACUGGAAACGGUGGCUAAUACCGCAUAACGUCGCAAGACCAAAGAGGGGGACCUUAGGGCCUCUUGCCAUCAGAUGUGCCCAGAUGGGAUUAGCUUGUUGGUGAGGUAACGGCUCACCAAGGCGACGAUCCCUAGCUGGUCUGAGAGGAUGACCAGCCACACUGGAACUGAGACACGGUCCAGACUCCUACGGGAGGCAGCAGUGGGGAAUAUUGCACAAUGGGCGCAAGCCUGAUGCAGCCAUGCCGCGUGUAUGAAGAAGGCCUUCGGGUUGUAAAGUACUUUCAGCGGGGAGGAAGGUGUUGUGGUUAAUAACCGCAGCAAUUGACGUUACCCGCAGAAGAAGCACCGGCUAACUCCGUGCCAGCAGCCGCGGUAAUACGGAGGGUGCAAGCGUUAAUCGGAAUUACUGGGCGUAAAGCGCACGCAGGCGGUCUGUCAAGUCGGAUGUGAAAUCCCCGGGCUCAACCUGGGAACUGCAUUCGAAACUGGCAGGCUUGAGUCUUGUAGAGGGGGGUAGAAUUCCAGGUGUAGCGGUGAAAUGCGUAGAGAUCUGGAGGAAUACCGGUGGCGAAGGCGGCCCCCUGGACAAAGACUGACGCUCAGGUGCGAAAGCGUGGGGAGCAAACAGGAUUAGAUACCCUGGUAGUCCACGCCGUAAACGAUGUCUACUUGGAGGUUGUGCCCUUGAGGCGUGGCUUCCGGAGCUAACGCGUUAAGUAGACCGCCUGGGGAGUACGGCCGCAAGGUUAAAACUCAAAUGAAUUGACGGGGGCCCGCACAAGCGGUGGAGCAUGUGGUUUAAUUCGAUGCAACGCGAAGAACCUUACCUGGUCUUGACAUCCACAGAACUUUCCAGAGAUGGACUGGUGCCUUCGGGAACUGUGAGACAGGUGCUGCAUGGCUGUCGUCAGCUCGUGUUGUGAAAUGUUGGGUUAAGUCCCGCAACGAGCGCAACCCUUAUCCUUUGUUGCCAGCGGUCCGGCCGGGAACUCAAAGGAGACUGCCAGUGAUAAACUGGAGGAAGGUGGGGAUGACGUCAAGUCAUCAUGGCCCUUACGACCAGGGCUACACACGUGCUACAAUGGCGCAUACAAAGAGAAGCGACCUCGCGAGAGCAAGCGGACCUCAUAAAGUGCGUCGUAGUCCGGAUUGGAGUCUGCAACUCGACUCCAUGAAGUCGGAAUCGCUAGUAAUCGUGGAUCAGAAUGCCACGGUGAAUACGUUCCCGGGCCUUGUACACACCGCCCGUCACACCAUGGGAGUGGGUUGCAAAAGAAGUAGGUAGCUUAACCUUCGGGAGGGCGCUUACCACUUUGUGAUUCAUGACUGGGGUGAAGUCGUAACAAGGUAACCGUAGGGGAACCUGCGGUUGGAUCACCUCCUUACCUUAAAGAAGC
rnacentral:rRNA from 1 species